rnacentral:rRNA from 1 species
UACAGAGGUCCCCAAGCGUUGUUCGGAUUCACUGGGCGUAAAGGGUGCGCAGGUGGGUUGGCAAGUUCGAUGUGAAAAGCCCCGGCGUUAACCCGGUAACGUGCGAUUGUAAACAGUUCGAUCUGGAGGGUUGGUAGGGGGACGUGGAAUUCUUGGUGUAGCAGUGAAAUGCGUAGAUAUCAAGAGGAACACCAGUGGCGAAGGCGAGUCCCUGGACAAUACCUGACACUGAGGCACGAAAGCUAGGGGAGCAAACAGGAUUAGAAA